UCGCGCCGUGCGGGAGAGUCCCGGUCUCAGCCGAGUCCGGGCGCCGAAGGAGCAGCACCUCCCCGUCAAUCUCUCAGGCAACCGGACCGUGCGGCUUUC
rnacentral:ncRNA from 2 species